AGCAGAAAGCUAAAACUGUUGUUUGGCAUGAUAAGCGAAAUGUGGCUUCUUCAAUUGACCUUGAUGAUCCGCUCAUGGGAAUUGUUCUUAAUGUUCCUGUUACAAAGUUUAGUGGCCUUUGGAAAAGCAGGCAUUGGGUUACGUUAAGAUGUAUUCAGGGGGUUUGGUAUAAUCUAGACAGUGAUUUUGCUGCUCCUUAUGCUUUUAAAGAUACCCAACAACUUAGGGAGUUCUUGGAUCGUAUCAUUACUGCUGGUGCGGAGGUUUUACUCGUCAUGAAUGAUAAACGAUGAGUU
rnacentral:misc_RNA from 1 species